rnacentral:rRNA from 1 species
GAUGAACGCUGGCGGCGUGCCUAAUACAUGCAAGUCGAGCGAAUGGAUUAAGAGCUUGCUCUUAUGAAGUUAGCGGCGGACGGGUGAGUAACACGUGGGUAACCUGCCCAUAAGACUGGGAUAACUCCGGGAAACCGGGGCUAAUACCGGAUAACAUUUUGAACCGCAUGGUUCGAAAUUGAAAGGCGGCUUCGGCUGUCACUUAUGGAUGGACCCGCGUCGCAUUAGCUAGUGGGUGAGGUAACGGCUCACCAAGGCAACGAUGCGUAGCCGACAUGAGAGGGUGAUCGGCCACACUGGGACUGAGACACGGCCCAGACUCCUACGGGAGGCAGCAGUAGGGAAUCUUCCGCAAUGGACGAAAGUCUGACGGAGCGACGCCGCGUGAGUGAUGAAGGCUUUCGGGUCGUAAAACUCUGUUGUUAGGGAAGAACAAGUGCUAGUUGAAUAGGCUGGCACCUUGACGGUACCUAACCAGAAAGCCACGGCUAACUACGUGCCAGCAGCCGCGGUAA